ACACUGCUUUAAAUGUGUCCCAGAGAUUCUGAGCCCAUGGGCCCUGACUGUCAUCAGGUUCAACCUCAUAUUCAACUGCUGGGCCUUGUCCCUUCUGGCCACACACUCUUUCCAAAUCAGCGAUGGUGGGAACUGAGAAGCCAGAAGCCACUGUGGAAGAACUCCAAGAAAAAAAAAUCUCCAGGUUAUCACAUCUUAUGUUUGAGCAAGAUUUAAGGCUGGGAAGAGGUGUAUCCCAGAAUUAGAAGAAGAAAAGGCCUUGCUCUGUCACCCAGGCUGGAGUGCAUGAUCGUGGCUCAUUGCAG